GCAUUUUGGGUAACUUUACAAGCUAGAAAAAACGGAAGGUCCGUAAUUUACUCCUAUUAACCGCGUCGUCUCCCACAAGUCGUCGCCCACAAUUUCUGAACAGAACCACGAUCGGUAGAGUUUCUGCCUUUUCGACGACAGAAUCGCCGGCGACUUGUUCGAAAAGGGGCAGCGUUUGAAGAUUUGCUUAAAUCGAACGGGGGAUACCAUAUCCUACAUUACCUCUUCUUCCACGAUAACCUGUUCAUCAACGGUGGACGUUAGUUUUGGUGAAUUUGUGUGUUUGGCGUUAGUUUUUACAUGGAAAUCACUUCAAAAUCAUUGCCGCCACAGCCGGUGAUGUACCCCUCAAGGUCUGCAGAAAGAGGUGCAAGAAUAGGGCCUACGCGCUUGGAUGUGGCGUCUCGCCGCGGAGCAACCAGAGAUCAAGACGGAGGCUAGAUUAUGACGAGAGGGAGAUUGCUGUAGGAGACGAAAUAUUGGCCAAGUCGAUGUACCGAAUCCUCCUCCAAUGGCAACAGCAAUCAGCCUCCGCAAAGGGGACACCCUAAAUUACAAGCCUGCUAUUGAAAAUGAAGGUGCUGGAAAAGGUGCUGGAAACAACUAGGAGUAGUUGUAAGAAUAAUUUGUUCAUUGAAAAAAUGUGUUGUUCAUUUAAAAUUUGUGAUGUGUUUAUUUACAAAAGUAUGUUCUGUUCAUUUAGAAAUUGUAAUCUGUUCAUUUACAAAUUGUGAUUCUUCGUUACCACACGUUCGAAAUAUUUAU